GGUUAAGUUAACAAGGGCGCAUGGUGAAUGCCUUGGCACUAGGAGCCGAUGAAGGACGGGACUAACACCGAUAUGCUUCGGGGAGCUGUACGUAAGCUAUGAUCCGGAGAUUUCCGAAUGGGGCAACCCAGCAGUUUUAAUCAACUGUUACCACUAGAUGAAUUCAUAGUCUAGUUGGAGGUAAACGCUGUGAACUGAAACAUCUCAUUAGCAGCAGGAAUAUAAAGAAAUUUCGAUUCCCUAAGUAGCGGCGAGCGAACGGGGAACAGCCCAAACCAAAGUGCUUGCACUUUGGGGUUGUAGGACUGAACAUUUGAGUUACCAAAGAACUUGAUAGUCGAAGGAUUUGGGAAAAUCCGCCAUAGAUGGUGAUAGCCCAGUAGAUUAAAUCAAAUUCUCUCAGUUCAGGAUCCUGAGUACGGCGGAACACGUGAAAUUCCGUCGGAAUCCGGGAGGACCAUCUCCCAAGGCUAAAUACUACCUAGUGACCGAUAGUGAACCAGUACCGUGAGGGAAAGGUGAAAAGCACCCCGGGAGGGGAGUGAAAUAGUUCCUGAAACCAUGUGCCUACAAUAAGUCAGAGCGCGUUAAUGCGUGAUGGCGUGCCUUUUGUAGAAUGAACCGGCGAGUUAUGAUCCCGUGCAAGGUUAAGACUAAAAAGUCGGAGCCGUAGCGAAAGCGAGUCUGAAAUGGGCGUUUUGAGUACGAGGUUAUAGACCCGAAACCAGGUGACCUAUCCAUGUCCAGGUUGAAGGUGCGGUAAAACGCACUGGAGGACCGAACCCGUGUAAGUUGAAAAUUGCUGGGAUGAGGUGUGGAUAGCGGUGAAAUUCCAAACGAACUUGGAGAUAGCUGGUUCUCUCCGAAAUAGCUUUAGGGCUAGCCUCGGAAUUAGGAUCAUGGAGGUAGAGCACUAUUUGGACUAGGGGCCCAUCUUGGGUUACUGAAUUCAGAUAAACUCCGAAUGCCAUUGAUUCAUAUCCGGGAGUCAGACGAUGAGUGAUAAGAUCCACCGUCGAAAGGGGAACAGCCCAGACCAUCAGUUAAGGUCCCUAAAUGUAUGCUAAGUGGAAAAGGAUGUGGAGUUGCAUAGACAACUAGGAUGUUGGCUCAGAAGCAGCCACCAUUUAAAGAGUGCGUAAUAGCUCACUAGUCGAGUGAUCCUGCGCCGAAAAUGUACCGGGGCUAAGCAUACUACCGAAACCAUGGAUGCGACCAUUAGGUCGCGUGAUAGGAGAGCGUUCUAAGGGCGGUGAAGCAAGAUCGUGAGGACUUGUGGAGCGCUUAGAAGUGAGAAUGCCGGUAUGAGUAGCGAAAGAUAGGUGAGAAUCCUAUCCACCGAAUGACUAAGGUUUCCUGGGGAAGGCUCGUCCUCCCAGGGUUAGUCGGGACCUAAGUCGAGGCCGAGAGGCGUAGACGAUGGAUAACAGGUUGAGAUUCCUGUACUAGUUAAGUGCGUUUGAGCAAUGGAGGGACGCAGGAGGCUAAGAUGUGCAUUCUGUUGGAUUAGAAUGUCCAAGCAGUAAGUCUUGUGAAGAGUCAAAUGCUUUUCACUUUAAGGACAAGCUGUGAUGGGGAGCGAAAUUUAGUAGCGAAGCGUCUGAUGUCACACUGCCGAGAAAAGCUUCUAGUGAGUACUUAACUACCCGUACCGCAAACCGACACAGGUAGUCGAGGAGAGAAUCCUAAGGUGAGCGAGUGAACUCUCGUUAAGGAACUCGGCAAAAUGACCCCGUAACUUCGGGAGAAGGGGUGCUGAUCGCAAGAUCAGCCGCAGUGAAUAGGCCCAGGCGACUGUUUAUCAAAAACACAGGUCUCUGCAAAAUCGUAAGAUGACGUAUAGGGGCUGACGCCUGCCCGGUGCUGGAAGGUUAAAAGGAUGGGUUAGCUUCGGCGAAGCUCAGAAUUGAAGCCCCAGUAAACGGCGGCCGUAACUAUAACGGUCCUAAGGUAGCGAAAUUCCUUGUCGGGUAAGUUCCGACCCGCACGAAAGGCGUAACGAUCUGGGCACUGUCUCAACGAGAGACUCGGUGAAAUUAUAUUGUCCGUGAAGAUGCGGACUACCCGCGACAGGACGGAAAGACCCCAUGGAGCUUUACUGUAGCUUGAUAUUGAGUGUUUGUACAGCUUGUACAGGAUAGGUAGGAGCCAUAGAAACCGGAACGCUAGUUUCGGUGGAGGCGUUGGUGGGAUACUACCCUCGCUGUAUGACCACUCUAACCCGCACCACUAAUCGUGGUGGGAGACAGUGUCAGGUGGGCAGUUUGACUGGGGCGGUCGCCUCCUAAAAAGUAACGGAGGCGCCCAAAGGUUCCCUCAGAAUGGUUGGAAAUCAUUCGCAGAGUGUAAAGGCACAAGGGAGCUUGACUGCGAGACAGACAGGUCGAGCAGGGACGAAAGUCGGGCUUAGUGAUCCGGUGGUACCGUAUGGAAGGGCCAUCGCUCAACGGAUAAAAGCUACCCUGGGGAUAACAGGCUUAUCUCCCCCAAGAGUCCACAUCGACGGGGAGGUUUGGCACCUCGAUGUCGGCUCAUCGCAUCCUGGGGCUGUAGUCGGUCCCAAGGGUUGGGCUGUUCGCCCAUUAAAGCGGUACGCGAGCUGGGUUCAGAACGUCGUGAGACAGUUCGGUCCCUAUCCGUCGCGGGCGUAGGAAAUUUGAGAGGACCUGUCCUUAGUACGAGAGGACCGGGAUGGACAUACCUCUGGUGUACCAGUUGUGCCGCCAGGCGCAUCGCUGGGUAGCUACGUAUGGAUGUGAUAAACGCUGAAAGCAUCUAAGUGUGAAACACACCUCGAGAUGAGAUUUCCCAUUCCUUUAUGGAAGUAAGACCCCUGAAAGAUGAUCAGGUAGAUAGGUUAGAAGUGGCAGUGCGGUGACGCAUGAAGCGGACUAAUACUAAUCGGUCGAGGACUUAACCAA
rnacentral:rRNA from 1 species